rnacentral:rRNA from 1 species
CCUGACUCCAGCACCUGCCGCGUGAGUAGACGACGGUCUCUCUAUGAUGUUGUAAACUUCUUUUGUAUGGGGAUAAACCUACCCUCGUGAGGGUAGCUGAAGGUACUAUACAAAAAACCACCGGCUAACUCCGUGCCAGCACCCGCGGUAAA